GAUGAACGCUAGCUACAGGCUUAACACAUGCAAGUCGCAGGGUAACAUGAGGAAAGCUUGCUUUCCUUGAUGACGACUGGCGCACGGGUGAGUAACGCGUAUCCAACCUUCCCAUAACUACGGGAUAACCCGUUGAAAGACGGCCUAAUACCGUAUGAUAUCGUUUGCUAACAUCAAAUAACGAUUAAAGGUUUAGCGGUUAUGGAUGGGGAUGCGUCUGAUUAGCUUGUUGGCGGGGUAACGGCCCACCAAGGCGACGAUCAGUAGGGGUUCUGAGAGGAAGGUCCCCCACAUUGGAACUGAGACACGGUCCAAACUCCUACGGGAGGCAGCAGUGAGGAAUAUUGGUCAAUGGGCGAGAGCCUGAACCAGCCAAGUAGCAUGCAGGACGACGGCCCUAUGGGUUGUAAACUGCUUUUAUGUGGGGAUAAAGUGCGUGACGUGUCAUGCAUUGCAGGUACCACAUGAAUAAGGACCGGCUAAUUCCGUG
rnacentral:rRNA from 1 species